AUGGCAGCACCAAAGCCCAUUACUCGCCUUAUUUCCCAUGUCAUUCUUGAUUUGGAUGGUACCCUCUUAAACACAGAUUGCAUUGUAAGCCAGGUGCUGAAACCAUUUCUUGUUAAAAAUGGGAAAAAGUGGGAUAGCAAGAAAGCUCACAAAUUUGUUGGAAAGACACCUUAUGAAGCUGCAGCUGUUGUUUUAGAAGAUUACGGACUCCCUUACUCCACCGAAGAGUUCCUCUCCUUGAUUAAUCCAAUGUUCAGCGAGCAAUGGGGCAACAUAAAAGCUCUUCCUGGAGCUAAUCGGUUAAUAAAACAUUUGAAGAGCAGCAGGGUGCCAGCUGCUUUAGCUUCCAACUCUUCAAGAUCAAACAUUGAAUCCAAAAUCUCGUGCCAUCAAGGAUGGAAAGAGUAUUUCUCUGCAAUUGUUGGUGCUGAUGAAGUAGAGUCAGGAAAGCCAUCCCCAGAUAUAUUUCUGGAAGCUGCAAAAAGAAUGAAUGCUGAUCCUUCAAAUUGCCUAGUAAUUGAGGAUUCCGUGCCAGGUGUUACGGCUGGCAAAGCUGCAGGAAUGCAUGUCAUAGCUGUCCCUUCAGUACCCAAAAGGACCGAUGAAUUCAGUUCAGCUGAUGAGAUUAUCAACUCCCUCCUCGACUUAAGGCCUGAAAAAUGGGGUUUGCGACCCUUCAAUGAUUGGAUUGAAGGUACCUUACCAAUAGACCCAUGGUUUAUUGGUGGACCUGUGAUCAAAGGAUUUGGCCGUGGUUCUAAAGUACUAGGAAUACCAACAGCGAACUUGGCUGCAGAAAACUUUUCCGACAUACUGUCGGAUCAUACAUCAGGUGUAUACUUUGGGUGGGCUGGACUUCCGAAGCGAGGCAUAUACAAGAUGGUCAUGAGCAUCGGCUGGAACCCUUAUUUUGAUAACACAGAGAAGACAAUCGAACCAUGGUUGCUUCAUGGUUUUGAUGAGGACUUCUAUGGAGAGGAGCUGCGCCUUGUUAUCGUUGGGUACAUACGACCUGAGGCAAACUUUCCUUCGCUCGAGAGCUUGAUAGAGAGGAUUCAUGAGGACGGGAGAAUCGCAGAGAACGCCCUAGAUUUGCCGGAGUAUGCCAAGUACAAAGAGUCGCCGUAUUUGAGAAACCCGUUGCAACAGGGUGCUGCUACUGGCGGGAACGAGGCGGAGCAAGAGUUUAUAUAA
rnacentral:rRNA from 1 species